rnacentral:rRNA from 1 species
AACAAACGCUGGCGGCGUGUCUUAAGCAUGCAAGUUGAGCGGCAAGGAGGAGAGAUCCUCCCUAGAGCGGCGGACUGGUGAGUAACGCGUGGGUAAUCUAUCGUAGGCAUGGGGAUAGUCACUAGAAAUAGUGGGUAAUACCGAAUACGUUCCAUGAGGGGAGUAUUCAUGGAAGAAAGGGUGCUACGGCACUGGCCUUAGGUGAGCUCGCGUCCCAUUAGCUAGUUGGUGAGGUAAAGGCCCACCAAGGCGAUGAUGGGUAGCCGGCCUGAGAGGGUGUACGGCCACACUGGGACUGAGAUACGGCCCAGACUCCUACGGGAGGCAGCAGCUAAGAAUAUUCCGCAAUGGACGAAAGUCUGACGGAGCGACGCCGCGUGGAUGAAGAAGGCCGAAGGUUGUAAAGUUCUUUUGCUAGGGGAGAAUAAGUGAGGGAGGGAAUGCCCUCAUGAUGACAAGGACUAGCGAAUAAGCCCCGGCAACUACGUGCCAGCACG